UACGUAGGGUGCAAGCGUUAAUCGGAAUGACUGGGCGUAAAGGGUGCGCAGGCGGUCUGCUAAGACAGAGGUGAAAUCCCCGGGCUUAACCUGGGAAUGGCAUUUGGGACUGCAAGGCUUGAGUGCGGCAGAGGAGACUGGAAUUCCUGGUGUAGCAGUGAAAUGCGUAGAUAUCAGGAGGAACACCGAUGGCGAAGGCAGGUCUCUGGGCUGACACUGACGCUCAUGCACGAAAGCGUGGGGAGCAAACAGG
rnacentral:rRNA from 1 species